rnacentral:rRNA from 1 species
AUUGAACGCUGGCGGCAGGCCUAACACAUGCAAGUCGAGCGAGCGGCGGACGGGUGAGUAAUGCCUAGGUAUGUGCCUGGUAGUGGGGGAUAACGUCCGGAAACGGGCGCUAAUACCGCAUACUAUCAGAUGAGCCUAGGCCGGAUUAGCUAGUAGGUGGGGUAACGGCUCACCAAGGCGACGAUCCCUAGCUGGUCUGAGAGGAUGACCAGCCACACUGGAACUGAGACACGGUCCAGACUCCUACGGGAGGCAGCAGUGGGGAAUAUUGCACAAUGGGCGCAAGCCUGAUGCAGCCAUGCCGCGUGUAUGAAGAAGGCCUUCGGGUUGUAAAGUACUUUCAGCCGGGAGGCGUUACCCGCAGAAGAAGCACCGGCUAACUCCGUGCCAGCAGCCGCGGUAAUAC